UACAGAGGUGGCAAGCGUUGUUCGGAAUUACUGGGCGUAAAGGGCGCGUAGGCGGUUCGGUAAGUCCUGUGUGAAAUCCCUCGGCUCAACUGAGGAACUGCACGGGAGACUGCCGGGCUCGAGUUCGGGAGAGGGAAGCGGAAUUCCGGGUGUAGCGGUGAAAUGCGUAGAUAUCCGGAGGAACACCGGUGGCGAAGGCGGCUUCCUGGACCGACACUGACGCUGAGGCGCGAAAGCUAGGGGAGCAAACGGG
rnacentral:rRNA from 1 species